GACGAACGCUGGCGGCGUGCUUAACACAUGCAAGUCGAACGGAAAGGCCCUGCUUUUGUGGGGUGCUCGAGUGGCGAACGGGUGAGUAACACGUGAGUAACCUGCCCUUGACUUUGGGAUAACUUCAGGAAACUGGGGCUAAUACCGGAUAGGAGCUCCUGCUGCAUGGUGGGGGUUGGAAAGUUUCGGCUGUUGGGGAUGGACUCGCGGCUUAUCAGCUUGUUGGUGGGGUAGUGGCUUACCAAGGCUUUGAAGGGUAGCCGGCCUGAGAGGGUGAACGGCGACAUGGGGACUGAGAUACGGAGCAGACUCCUACGGGAGGCAGCAGUGGGGAAUAUGGCACAAUGGGCGGAAGCCUGAUGCAGCAACGCCGCGUGCGGGAUGACGGCCUUCGGGUUGUAAACCGCUUUCGACUGUGACGAAGCGUGAGUGACGGUAAUGGGUAAAGAAGCACCGGCUAACUACGUG
rnacentral:rRNA from 1 species